AGUCGAACGGAAAGGCCCUGCUUGCAGGGUACUCGAGUGGCGAACGGGUGAGUAACACGUGGGUGAUCUGCCCUGCACUUCGGGAUAAGCCUGGGAAACUGGGUCUAAUACCGGAUAGGAGCCAUUUUUAGUGUGAUGGUUGGAAAGUUUUUUCGGUGUAGGAUGAGCUCGCGGCCUAUCAGCUUGUUGGUGGGGUAAUGGCCUACCAAGGCGGCGACGGGUAGCCGGCCUGAGAGGGUGGACGGCCACAUUGGGACUGAGAUACGGCCCAGACUCCUACGGGAGGCAGCAGUGGGGAAUAUUGCACAAUGGGCGCAAGCCUGAUGCAGCGACGCCGCGUGGGGGAUGACGGCCUUCGGGUUGUAAACUCCUUUCGCUAGGGACGAAGCUUUUUGUGACGGUACCUAGAUAAGAAGCACCGGCUAACUACGUGCCAGCAGCCGCGGUAAUACGUAGGGUGCGAGCGUUGUCCGGAAUUACUGGGCGUAAAGGACUCGUAGGUGGUUUGUCGCGUCGUCUGUGAAAUUCCGGGGCUUAACUCCGGGCGUGCAGGCGAUACGGGCAUAACUUGAGUACUGUAGGGGUAACUGGAAUUCCUGGUGUAGCGGUGAAAUGCGCAGAUAUCAGGAGGAACACCGAUGGCGAAGGCAGGUUACUGGGCAGUUACUGA
rnacentral:rRNA from 1 species